ensembl:lncRNA uncharacterized LOC114480607
AGAAAACAGUUUCCUGAUGUUAGUUUAGCUUAAAAACUGACUUUAAAACCAAUCAAAUAUUUGUUAAAUACCUUCAACGUUAACAAUCACAUUUAAUAAACCGACCGGCGGCAGUUUAUGUGUAAAAACCUGAACUUUUUAGACUUUUUUGACCGUUGCCCCAAAGGAAGUUGCUGUCCUUAUUUACGUAGCCGUACGGACACCCCCGGUGCUAUUCAUACGUGACCGAUGACGUUCCCGGAAGUCAUGUGACCAUUCCGUACGGACUACCGGAAAAGAAAAUGGCUGAGGAAGUGUUACACGUUGGUGCUGAGUUCAAAUGUUUGGAUGAUUUAGAGGCUGCCAUCAACCAAUAUGAGUCAACAAAGUACAUAAACUUGUACAGGAGAAGCAGCAGAUCUAUUGCUGCGUUCUGUAAGCGCAGGAAUACAACAAAAACUAUUCCUGAGCAGCUGAAGUUUGCAGAGAUAGACUAUGCCUGCAUUCACGGCGGCAAGAAAUUCAAAACCACUUCAGGAGGUGCCAGGCCAAAUCAAAGUACAUUCCAACAACAGUGUCCUGUGGUGGUCAAAGUCCGACUGUCUGAAGACUGGCAGAAACUAGUGGUGAAGAAGUUGACAGAAGAGCACAAUCAUCAGCUAUCACAGGUGGCAUAUAAACACUUACCCAGACAGAGGCGGCUCGAUCCUAGGACCAGAGAAGAGGUGUUCUGCAUGCUCCAGGUGAAAGCCGACAAGAAAUUGAUCCAGCACCACGUUCACCAGUCCACAGGCCGUAUUCUCACACUGAAGGAUCUUCACAACUUGGGACGAUCACGCGAAGCCGACACCGAGAACGAUCUCCACGCACUUUUGUACGAAAUGAAAAAGGAACCCGGCAGUGUCACCGAGGUAGUUUUAGGCACUAACCAUGUACUUCAAGGAAUAUAUUACCAGGACCAUAAAAUGCAACAGAUUCAACGGGCAUUUCCUGAGCUCAUGCUCAUAGACGCCGCCUACAAGUUGAACGAUUUCAGAAUGGCCCUGUAUGUACUCAUGUCAGUGGAUGGCAAUGGUGAGAGCCACGUUAUUGCAUUUUGGAUCGUCACCAACGAAGAGCGUGCUACAGUGGCUGCCCUCACAGACAUCUUCAUUCGUCUGAACAGUGCUGAUCAGAUUAAGUGCAUCAUGGCUGACAAGGAGAUAGUGGAACGAGAUGUGAUACAGGAGAAAAUACCCCAUGCAGCACUUCAGAUAUGCCUGGUCCACACGCUGAAGAUGUUCCGUCGUGAAAUAACCUGCGAGAAGAUGGGUAUUAAGUCUGAGCAGAAGCAGUCCAUCCUAGAAACUCUUCAGAAAAUGACGUACGCAAGGGACGAGGAUGAGUACAUGAAACAUUAUGAGGCUCUGUGUGACCUAAACAUCAAACCUGUGACUGACUAUGUCAACACUCACUGGCAUGACAUCAGGACGCAGUGGGUGGAGGGGCUAAAAUCACAGGCAGCCAAUUUUAUGACCAGCACCAACAACCGCGUCGAUCCGAUCAGUCAAAAACUGAAAGGCGUUAUCAGCAAGUACAGCGGUAUGGUGACCUUCUUCCGUGACCUAAAGACUGAACUGGCCGUACUUGAGACAGAGAGAAAUCAUCGUACCCUUCAGAUAAUCCAGAAAUCAUCUGCUGUACAGUCCAGCCCCGACAGUCCAGAAAGCCUGUACUUGCGCUUGCUUACUCCAUAUGCUUCACGAUUUGUCAGUACUCAGCUAUCUUCAGCCAGUUCACCAACAACCACUGUCCCAGAUGCCACUACAACCACAAGCUGCACAUGUGGAUUCUGGCACUCGAUGUCCCUACCCUGUAAACACAUAUUGAAGAAGAGGUCAGAGAGUGGUCUGCCCCUCUAUGCUGAAGAACUGGUGGCUCAACGUUGGCACAAAUCGUACUACCUUGAUUCUCUUCCCAUUUUCAAAGACACUGCUGAGCCAGCGGUCAUCCUGGCGCAACAACACACAGUAACCCAGAAGCCAUUGUCGCAGAGUGACCAAUAUCAAAACCUACCAAAUCCUGACCCUGCUUCCACUACUUCAAAUACACUUAUAGAUCUGUCUAUGGUGACCCUACCUCCCAAAAUGCCCAAACGGGGAAGGCCAAAGGGGGCGGGACUAACAGGUAUUGGUCUUCCUAAGAAGAGAGCUCGAAGCACUGAGCACCCUGUUCCCUUUACAAAGAAGGACCCAGCUGACAAAGACACUUUAUCCUGAGUUGAUUAGUGAGCGAGGAAAUGGUGGAACAUGCCCUGGACGAUGCUCACAAACUGCCUAAAAUGAGUCUCCUCCCACAGGAAACAGGUCCCCAGAGUAAAGACAUGGGUAUGGCGUAACUGUCCGCAACAGUGAAAAAUGACACUUUAGUUUGAUUUGUUGUUUGUUUUUUUAAAAUAUGCUCAAAAUGCAAACUUGAUCGUGUGAAAAUAUUUGCAUUGUUUUGGUUUCUCCUUGAAUGUGACAUCAUUGUAUUACAAUGUGUAACUGUUUAUUGUCCUCAAAUCUUGUUUUUAUACUACGCUGUUCUUCAAAUAUAUUUUUAAAUGUUUUGAACUAUAGUUUUGUAUAGUUAUGUAUAUAUAAUUGUUAAACAAAAUGCC